CAGGUGGAAUCCAAGACGGACAACAAAGAUCUGGAGAUGUCUAGUGUCUCUGUGCAUCCAUCAACUUCAUCAGCCAUGGACUCUGAUACACAUGCAUUAUUUGACUCCACUAGCAAUGACUACACCUCUUUGGUACUUUUACUGAUUGUUAGAUUGCUGUCAAUGAUCACCCCUAUCACAUUACUGGAAUCCUCCGACAUUGGUGAAACAUCAAGAGUUCUCACAAAGAGGAUUCUGUCUGAGUUCUGUGGCACCUCAGGCCCUGAACAAACUCAAGCCUACCCCCAGAAUCUGAAAUUCAAAGAGAUUUUCAAGGCUGUCUACAUGGGGCUUCUUCAAGAAUUCGGGUCAGAGAAGAUGCUCCAGGUUGCAAUGAAGUCAACGGAUUAUGCAUUUGACGAUGCCCUGGUCAAAUCAUUAACUAGGGAACUACUAGCUAAAUGCAAUGAGGCUAGCUCUUCACCUCCCUCCAUGACCCAGUUGUCAUCACACAAUGCACUUGGCAGUGACGAGGUAGGUCAUUCUGCGCUUCCAACAACUGGUAGAAAGGAAAAGAAGAGAGGAAGAUUCAGCGCUCUCUGUGGACUCAACCCAAAGGUACAUAUGUCAUCAAAAUACAAAUGAUAAAGAUUAUUUUUAUUCAUUACGUACAGUAUGAUGGUAAACACUGAUACCCUUUGUGUGCAAUUUCUCCUACUGUAUAAAUGACUGUUUGUUACCCAGUGUACAAAGAAGGACAACAAAAAGAACCACUGCACUCCAACACCUUCCCAGAACCAGACCCCUGCCGUCAGUGAAACAGCAAUUGUCAAUGAUCAAGAAUCCUGCCGAACAGAGAGUGUAUGCUCCACCAAGAAGAAACCAAGGAAGCGUUCGCUCAUUUCCAGGAUGUUUUCAGCUAUAGGCAAAGCCUUGUCCAGUCCCUUUACUUCCUGCUAUAAAAAGAAGAGCACCUAAUCUAUAUUUCAAAAUAAAUAUUUGAAAUUAACAUAA